UCCCUGGUGGCUCAGAUAGUAAAGAAUCUGCCUGCAAUGCAGGAGACCCAGGUUCAAUUUCUGGGUCGGGAA
rnacentral:tRNA from 1 species